rnacentral:lncRNA from 1 species
CAUUUUCAAUAAGCAAAUGAGACUAAUGAGAUUGAAUCACAAACAAAUGGUUUAAACUGUACUAAUCUGUGAGAUAACGCAGUUUGUAAUGCCAGCAAUUGUGGAGUACUGGAAUAUUCAGAUGUCUUGGAUAUACAAAUCAGUUCACUGCAGAAAGCAUAUGAAUGAAUGUAGAUUAGCCGUAAAUUGCCGACGGGGACAGAACACCAGCCUAUAACCACUUUCUGUAUCUCCCGUGGUCCAUAGCUGUAGGAAGGCAGGAAGGAAAGCACAUAUGAACAGCUAGAACUUAGAAAUCAGCAUACCAAAUAAUAAUUUUUAAGCUAAAAACAAUAGAUUUACAAAGAGGUAUUGGGUGAAAAGAGGCAUAUCCGUAUAUGUACCUUUUGGUUCAUAUCGAGCUGUGUUUAUAACGAUAGCACUCUGCUGGAGCUCUGUGUACAAUUUCUUGCCAAACAUGGGGUAUGCAUUUCGUCGAACAGGUAGUGAGCAUCGGCCAUGGCAAA